GGUGAAUGCAGGGCCGGAAGCGGCGGAAAGAGGUGGGGGGCAAGCUGUGGCCGGAAGUAUGGGGCGGAAAGGGCGCGCAGGCGGCGUCGUAAGUCGGUCUUAAAAGUGCGGGGGUUAACCCCGGGAGGGGACCGAAACUGGGAUGCUAGAGUAUCGGAGAGGAAAGCGGAAUGCCUGGUGUAGCGGUGAAAUGCGUAGAUAUUAGGAGGAACACCAGUGGCGAAAGCGGCUUUCUGGACGACAACUGACGCUGAGGCGCGAAAGCCAGGGGAGCAAACGGGAUUAGAUACCCGAGUAGUC
rnacentral:rRNA from 1 species